GACGAACGCUGGCGGCGUGCUUAACACAUGCCAGUCGAACGAUGAAGAAAAGAAUUGAAGCUUCGGCAGAAAUUCAUUUCGGAUUAGUGGCAGACGGGUGAGUAACGCGUGAGCAACCUACCUCUUACAAAGGGAUAGCCUCGGGAAACCGGGAUUAAUACCAUAUAACAUUGCGACGAAGCAUUUCGAUGCAAUCAAAGCUACGGCGGUAAGAGAUGGGCUCGCGUCCCAUUAACCAGAUGGUGAGGUAACGGCUCACCAUAGUAACGAUGGGUAACCGGCCUGAGAGGGUGAACGGUCACACUGGAACUGAGACACGGUCCAGACUCCUACGGGAGGCAGCAGUGGGGAAUAUUGCACAAUGGAGGGAACUCUGAGGCAGCGACGCCGCGUGAGUGAUGAAGGAAUUCGUUUCGUAAAACUCUGUUCUAUGGGAAGAAAAGGACUGUACCAUAGGAGAAAGCUCCGGCUAAAUACG
rnacentral:rRNA from 1 species